AACGACUCUCGGCAACGGAUAUCUCGGCUCUCGCAUCGAUGAAGAACGUAGCGAAAUGCGAUACUUGGUGUGAAUUGCAGAAUCCCGUGAACCAUCGAGUUUUUGAACGCAAGUUGCGCCCUAAGCCGUCAGGCCGAGGGCACGCUUGCCUG
rnacentral:rRNA from 1 species